UGUCGCAAGUUCAAGGCCACAGCAAAAGCACUAAUAGUGCUGCCUUGUCGGAUUCCAAUGAAUCUGUGAAUUCUGCU
rnacentral:ribozyme from 1 species